rnacentral:piRNA from 1 species
AGGAGCUAAGUAUGAAUGAACUGUGUAAUAA